UGUCACAGCCCCGUGUCACAGCCCCAUGUCACUGCCCCGUGUCACUGCCCCAUGUCACAGCCCCGUGUCACAGCCCCGUGUCACAGCCCCGUGUCACCAUGGGGACACUGCUCAGUCCCACACUGAGCCGCUGGUUCUGGAAGGGUUUCACAAGGAGAACCCCUGGGACACUCAGCAUCAGGCCUCUGCAAACAGACUGGGUGGAAGUUUUUGACUCUGAACUUUGAGCUUCUCAUCUGGAAGAGUGAAGGCUGACAGUUCCCACAGCAAGGAACAAGCUCCAGCACUCAUCCUGAAGAUGGAGUGGGACUUGAUGGAUGAGGAAUUAUGACAAGGAAGCCGAGUUAUACAGAAAAUGAUGGCUUACAGAAGUGUUUGUGCAGGCGAGGAGAAAGCUUCAGAUUUCAAUACAUGCAGGUUCCUGGUCUCUAUAGAAACACUGCUGCCAGCAGUUUCAGGAAGAUGUAACAAGAUCCAGCCUUCAAGUAAUUUCAAAUUCAAGUAACAGAACUAAUGAAGAUUGCUAAUAGAGACCAAAGGAUGUUUUUCCUCUUGUUUUUAUUCUUACACAUUUUAAAUGCUUGUAGUUUCCCUAAACAAAUAAUAGACACAAAUAACACAAAGUGAUCACAAUUGAGAGUGACCUAAAAAGCUUCCCUUUCAUUCAUGUCCUUCAUGAACCCAGGCAGGAACAAAGCCUUGCUCACACUGUCUUGGUUAACACUGACACAAAAACAUUACAUUUAAUUUGGCUGGCCAAGGCAUGGAGUAUCACAUUUCCAGAGGUAUGGACACAGGAUGUAUUUCUGGUUCCAUUGAAAAAAAGAAAGCAAAACUCUGAAGAUGCAUUUCUAAGCUGCAUCCCAAGAUCAGAUAUUUCCUAACAGUACAAGCUACAAACCUUUAAAUUACCAAGGUAACUAAAAUUUGUUGUAAAGUUUCAGUUUGGAGCCAAAAUAGGUUAGAAAGUGAGUUAUGCAUGUCCUUGAAUACAAGAAACAGCUCUUAAAAACCAGGUUUGCACUGGAAUGGCAAGAGACUGCCUACAGCACAGAUAAGUGACAUUAUUAUUCCAGCUUUAGGGCUGGCACUGUGAAUUCCUGUAUCUAACUUGUUUUAUAAGGAAAAUAAUACAUCUGUGUC